CGUGUAUCCAAGUUGUCUUACAAAAUUUACAUAAAAAGUUUAUUAUUGGUAAAGGCCUGGCCACUUGCUAUUUGUAUAAAAUGAUGACUUUGUGCUGACAAUGUUAUGAGUUGGAGCUAUUUUCAAGAAUCAAGAAACGUGUUGUAAUUUUCCAGGACAAAGACAGUCAUUAUAUGGAUAAGAAAGCAUCUGGCAAGGGAAUUUCUGAGGAAGUGACUCGUGAGUCACUAAUCGCGAUAUCAUACAGUGAACCAGAGAAGGAUCUUCCUUUUAUUGAAUCUGCACCUGAAAACUCCAACAAUGAGAAUGUGGUAAAAUCUGUUAGCGGCGACACAGAUGAUAAAUAUAGGUCGGAGUUGAUCUCAAUAUCCUAUGCAGAGCCACCAGACACUGAAGUUCAACCAGUUUCACCUAAGGCUAACUAAAACUCUUGUUGUUUCAAUAUCCUAUGCAGAUGUUAAAACUCUUGUUGUUUUGCAACAUAAUGUUAUUUACUCAUAAAAAAAUAGACAUCCCUUGAACUUUGAAGUGUUUUCAUGUGUUUACACCUUUCACUGUUGUAAUCAUUGGCGGAGACACUAUAAAGUGUAAAUUCAUGGUG